AACAUCCAAGAGAACUGAAACAUUUGUUGAAUGCUCUGUGUGUGUGUGUGUGUGUGUGUGUGUGUGUGUGUAUAUAUAUAUAUAUAUAUAUAUAUAUGUAUGAAUAAAUGUAUAC
rnacentral:miRNA from 1 species